rnacentral:rRNA from 1 species
GGGUUGUGAGGUUAAGCGACUAAGCGUACACGGUGGAUGCCCUGGCAGUCAGAGGCGAUGAAGGACGUGCUAAUCUGCGAAAAGCGUCGGUAAGGUGAUAUGAACCGUUACAGCCGGCGAUGUCCGAAUGGGGAAACCCAGUGUGAUUCGUCACACUAUCGUUAACUGAAUACAUAGGUUAACGAGGCGAACCGGGGGAACUGAAACAUCUAAGUACCCCGAGGAAAAGAAAUCAACCGAGAUUCCCCCAGUAGCGGCGAGCGAACGGGGAGCAGCCCAGAGUCUGAAUCAGCUUGUGUGUUAGUGGAACGGUCUGGAAAGUCCGACGGUACAGGGUGAUAGUCCCGUACACCAAAAUGCACAGGCUGUGAACUCGAAGAGUAGGGCGGGACACGUGGUAUCCUGUCUGAAUAUGGGGGGACCAUCCUCCAAGGCUAAAUACUCCUGACUGACCGAUAGUGAACCAGUACCGUGAGGGAAAGGCGAAAAGAACCCCGGCGAGGGGAGUGAAAAAGAACCUGAAACCGUGUACGUACAAGCAGUGGGAGCACCUUCGGGUGUGACUGCGUACCUUUUGUAUAAUGGGUCAGCGACUUAUAUUCUGUAGCAAGGUUAACCGUAUAGGGGAGCCGCAGGGAAACCGAGUCUUAACUGGGCGUUAAGUUGCAGGGUAUAGACCCGAAACCCGGUGAUCUAGCCAUGGGCAGGUUGAAGGUUGGGUAACACUAACUGGAGGACCGAACCGACUAAUGUUGAAAAAUUAGCGGAUGACUUGUGGCUGGGGGUGAAAGGCCAAUCAAACCGGGAGAUAGCUGGUUCUCCCCGAAAGCUAUUUAGGUAGCGCCUCGUGAAUUCAUCUUCGGGGGUAGAGCACUGUUUCGGCUAGGGGGUCAUCCCGACUUACCAACCCGAUGCAAACUACGAAUACCGAAGAAUGUUAUCACGGGAGACACACGGCGGGUGCUAACGUCCGUCGUGAAGAGGGAAACAACCCAGACCGCCAGCUAAGGUCCCAAAGUCACAGUUAAGUGGGAAACGAUGUGGGAAGGCACAGACAGCCAGGAUGUUGGCUUAGAAGCAGCCAUCAUUUAAAGAAAGCGUAAUAGCUCACUGGUCGAGUCGGCCUGCGCGGAAGAUGUAACGGGGCUAAACUGUGCACCGAAGCUGCGGCAGCGACACUAUGUGUUGUUGGGUAGGGGAGCGUUCUGUAAGCCUGCGAAGGUGGCCUGUGAGGGUUGCUGGAGGUAUCAGAAGUGCGAAUGCUGACAUAAGUAACGAUAAUGCGGGUGAAAAGCCCGCACGCCGGAAGACCAAGGGUUCCUGUCCAACGUUAAUCGGGGCAGGGUGAGUCGACCCCUAAGGCGAGGCCGAAAGGCGUAGUCGAUGGGAAACAGGUUAAUAUUCCUGUACUUGGUGUUACUGCGAAGGGGGGACGGAGAAGGCUAUGUUAGCCGGGCGACGGUUGUCCCGGUUUAAGCAUGUAGGCGGAGGUUCCAGGUAAAUCCGGUACCUUUUAACGCUGAGGUGUGAUGACGAGGCACUACGGUGCUGAAGUAACAAAUGCCCUGCUUCCAGGAAAAGCCUCUAAGCAUCAGGUAACAUUAAAUCGUACCCCAAACCGACACAGGUGGUCAGGUAGAGAAUACCAAGGCGCUUGAGAGAACUCGGGUGAAGGAACUAGGCAAAAUGGUGCCGUAACUUCGGGAGAAGGCACGCUGAUAUGUAGGUGAAGCCCCUGCGGGUGGAGCUGAAAUCAGUCGAAGAUACCAGCUGGCUGCAACUGUUUAUUAAAAACACAGCACUGUGCAAACACGAAAGUGGACGUAUACGGUGUGACGCCUGCCCGGUGCCGGAAGGUUAAUUGAUGGGGUUAUCCGUAAGGAGAAGCUCUUGAUCGAAGCCCCGGUAAACGGCGGCCGUAACUAUAACGGUCCUAAGGUAGCGAAAUUCCUUGUCGGGUAAGUUCCGACCUGCACGAAUGGCGUAAUGAUGGCCAGGCUGUCUCCACCCGAGACUCAGUGAAAUUGAACUCGCUGUGAAGAUGCAGUGUACCCGCGGCAAGACGGAAAGACCCCGUGAACCUUUACUAUAGCUUGACACUGAACAUUGAGCCUUGAUGUGUAGGAUAGGUGGGAGGCUUUGAAGCGUGGACGCCAGUCUGCGUGGAGCCAACCUUGAAAUACCACCCUUUAAUGUUUGAUGUUCUAACGUUGGCCCCUUAUCGGGGUUGCGGACAGUGUCUGGUGGGUAGUUUGACUGGGGCGGUCUCCUCCCAAAGAGUAACGGAGGAGCACGAAGGUUAGCUAAUCCUGGUCGGACAUCAGGAGGUUAGUGCAAUGGCAUAAGCUAGCUUGACUGCGAGCGUGACGGCGCGAGCAGGUGCGAAAGCAGGUCAUAGUGAUCCGGUGGUUCUGAAUGGAAGGGCCAUCGCUCAACGGAUAAAAGGUACUCCGGGGAUAACAGGCUGAUACCGCCCAAGAGUUCAUAUCGACGGCGGUGUUUGGCACCUCGAUGUCGGCUCAUCACAUCCUGGGGCUGAAGUAGGUCCCAAGGGUAUGGCUGUUCGCCAUUUAAAGUGGUACGCGAGCUGGGUUUAGAACGUCGUGAGACAGUUCGGUCCCUAUCUGCCGUGGGCGCUGGAGAAUUGAGGGGGGCUGCUCCUAGUACGAGAGGACCGGAGUGGACGCAUCACUGGUGUUCGGGUUGUCAUGCCAAUGGCAUUGCCCGGUAGCUAAAUGCGGAAGAGAUAAGUGCUGAAAGCAUCUAAGCACGAAACUUGCCCCGAGAUGAGUUCUCCCUGACUCCUUGAGAGUCCUGAAGGAACGUUAAAGACGAUGACGUUGAUAGGUCGGGUGUGUAAGCGUAGCGAUACGUUGAGCUAACCGAUACUAAUGAACCGUGAGGCUUAACCUUACAACGCCGAAG